rnacentral:rRNA from 1 species
UGUUUGGAGAGUUUGAUCCUGGCUCAGGACGAACGCUGGCGGCGUGCUUAACACAUGCAAGUCGAACGGUGAAGCGCUUGCCUUUUUGGUGGGUGUGGAUGAGUGGCGAACGGGUGAGUAACACGUGAGUAACCUGCCCUCUUCUUCUGGAUAACCUCAUGAAAGUGGGGCUAAUACGGGGUAUUCCGGGUCUGUCGCAUGGCGGGUUUGGGAAAGAUUGCGCCUUUGGGUGUUUUCGGUGGGGGAUGGGCUCGCGGCCUAUCAGCUUGUUGGUGGGGUGAUGGCCUACCAAGGCGGUGACGGGUAGCCGGCCUGAGAGGGUGGACGGCCACACUGGGACUGAGACACGGCCCAGACUCCUGCGGGAGGCAGCAGUGGGGAAUAUUGCACAAUGGGCGCAAGCCUGAUGCAGCGACGCCGCGUGAGGGAUGGAGGCCUUCGGGUUGUGAACCUCUUUCGCCAGUGAAGCAGGCCUGCUCCUGUGUGGGUGGGUUGACGGUAGCUGGAUAAGAAGCGCCGGCUAACUACGUGCCAGCAGCCGCGGUAAUACGUAGGGCGCGAGCGUUGUCCGGAAUUAUUGGGCGUAAAGAGCUCGUAGGCGGCUGGUCGCGUCUGUCGUGAAAUCCUCUGGCUUAACUGGGGGCUUGCGGUGGGUACGGGCCGGCUUGAGUGCGGUAGGGGAGGCUGGAACUCCUGGUGUAGCGGUGGAAUGCGCAGAUAUCAGGAAGAACACCGGUGGCGAAGGCGGGUCUCUGGGCCGUUACUGACGCUGAGGAGCGAAAGCGUGGGGAGCGAACAGGAUUAGAUACCCUGGUAGUCCACGCCGUAAACGUUGGGCACUAGGUGUGGGGGGCCUUUUCCGGGUUCUUCCGCGCCGUAGCUAACGCAUUAAGUGCCCCGCCUGGGGAGUACGGCCGCAAGGCUAAAACUCAAAGGAAUUGACGGGGGCCCGCACAAGCGGCGGAGCAUGCGGAUUAAUUCGAUGCAACGCGAAGAACCUUACCAAGGCUUGACAUGUGCCGGUCGGCUCCGGAGACGGGGUUUCCUUCCUUUGUGGGGGCCGGUUCACAGGUGGUGCAUGGUUGUCGUCAGCUCGUGUCGUGAGAUGUUGGGUUAAGUCCCGCAACGAGCGCAACCCCUGUCCCGUGUUGCCAGCACGUUGUGGUGGGGACUCGCGGGAGACUGCCGGGGUCAACUCGGAGGAGGGUGGGGAUGACGUCAAAUCAUCAUGCCCCUUAUGUCUUGGGCUUCACGCAUGCUACAAUGGCCGGUACAGAGGGCUGCGAUGCCGUGAGGUGGAGCGAAUCCCUUAAAGCCGGUCUCAGUUCGGAUCGGUGUCUGCAACUCGACACCGUGAAGUUGGAGUCGCUAGUAAUCGCAGAUCAGCAACGCUGCGGUGAAUACGUUCUCGGGCCUUGUACACACCGCCCGUCACGUCAUGAAAGUCGGCAACACCCGAAGCCCGUGGCCUUAUGGGGAGCGGUCGAAGGUGGGGCUGGUGAUUGGGACGAAGUCGUAACAAGGUAGCCGUACCGGAAGGUGCGGCUGGAUCACCUCCUUUCUAAGGA